rnacentral:rRNA from 1 species
CCUACGGGAGGCAGCAGUGGGGAAUAUUGCACAAUGGGGGAAACCCUGAUGCAGCGACGCCGCGUGAGUGAAGAAGUAUUUCGGUAUGUAAAGCUUUAUCAGCAGGGAAGAAAAUGACGGUACCUGAUCAAGAAGCCCCGGCUAAAUACGUGCCAGGAGCCGAGGUAAUACGUAGGGGGCAAGCGUUAUCCGGAUUUACUGGGUGUAAAGGGAGCGUAGACGGUUGCACAAGUCCGGAGUGAAAUGGCGGGGCUUAACCCCGGAACUGCAUUGGAUACUGGACAGCUAGAGUGCAGGAGAGGUAAGUGGAAUUCCUGGUGUAGCGGUGAAAUGCGUAGAUAUUAGGAGGAACACCAGUGGCGAAGGCGGCUUACUGGACUGUAACUGACGUUGAGGCUCGAAAGCGUGGGGAGCAAACAGGAUUAGAUACCCGGGUAGUC